rnacentral:lncRNA from 1 species
UGGCAUAUUAUAUAAUACAAAAUAUUAAAAAAUAAAUAAAUAAAUAAAUAAAUAAAUAAAUAAAAGAGAGAGAGAGAGGGGGUGAAUAGAGACGAGGAGAAACUUCGAAUUUAAUUAUUUUAUUUUUUUAAUUAAAUUUAAUGUAACAACACAUUAACGACAAAGCGAACAGCACGCUAUCUCUUUUUUUUUUAAUAAAAAACUCUUAACACAUGCGUGCGUUUAUCGCACCUAGCACAGUUAGAAUGUUAGAUAAAGAUGAGUGAUUAUUUUAUAAGAAAAACUUCAAAUACACCCCAUGUGGUUUCACAGUUUCUCAUUUUAGUAUCAUGUGGUUUCGUAUUUUCUCACUUUAGUAUCCUGUGGAACCACAGGGUACCAACUUGACACACUUUAAAUCAUAAAGUAUUAAAGCGAAAAAGUACAAAACCACAGGGAGGUAUUUGAAGUUUUUCUUAUUUUAUGUUUUUAGCUAGGUUUAUAUUUAAAUUCUCGAAGUAUGCGACUAUUACUGAUUGUACGUAGAACAGUUGGCUAAGAAUUUGAUAGUUGAAAUUCCAAGCUUGUUUUAAUAUAACAAAAUAUUAACUGCGAAGCGAAUAGCAUGCUGUCUUUUGUUUUUUUUUUUUAAAGAAAACUCUCGAAACAUACGGGUGUCCAUUGUACCUAACGCAGUUAGAUAAAAAUUGAUUAUUGUUUUAUAUUUCUAGCUAGGUUUAUAUUUAAAAUUUUAAAGUGUACGACUAUUACUGAUUGUAUCUAGCGUAGUUGGCAAAUAAUUUAAUAAUUAAUAGUUGAGAUUCCAAAUUUGAUACCUAAUUAUUUCAUACUCUUAGCUGAGUUCGUAUCUAAAAAAUGAACAAUUUGUGUAACAUUC